rnacentral:lncRNA from 12 species
CAAAAGUCUGGCCACCACACCCUGAAUUCCUACUCUCAUCUGGUUAAUGUAAAUAGUUGAUCAGAUAUGGGAAAUCUCUGAAGAAAAGCCUUCCCCCCUUGUGUCUUCCUGCGGCUUCUCUGGGUUUAGAGUUCCGGCAUGUCAUCUCUGAGGGUUGGGAGGGACACACUCAAUCUGCAGGGCAGGGCAUUACCUUGCCUUUCCAUCCCUCACCUCCACCCCACCCCUGAUCUGCCAUAGGACCUUCCCAGAGACACAGCCUGUCUCAGUCUUCUAUUCCUCUCCAACUGUAACACAGGCUCCUUGGUGACAUGCAUGACUCUAAAGGUGGCUUCCUCACAACAGGCCUAGGCGAACCCAACUUAGAAGAAGACUGGGAUCCACUUACUUCCCUGCGAUGUCUUGAAUUCUUGAGUGAAAGGCCGUCUGGGCCCUGGGAAGAACCCUUCCAGCAAGCGGAGAUGCUGAGAUGCUCGGGCAGGUGCACAUCCCCCGCGCAGCCACAAGAUGGCAGGGUCGCCCCGACGACCGAGGACUUGGCGCCAGUCCCCCGCACCAGUAGAGGGCUGUAGUUCCUCGUUGCAAAAAGUCAGACACCAUUGCCCAGGCCAGGAACAAAGGAGUAGAAGAGGUAUCAGCUGCAAAGAUCUUCACUGGAGAGGUACUGCUGGAGGUGAGGAGGGAUGGAGGCCAAGGGGGCAGCCUUGUGUUCUACACUACUCUGCUCCAUCUAACUUUCCAGAGAAAAACAAAUUUUCAACUGCCAGAAAACUUGAUAAGGAAAUGUUACAAGAAAAGAAAUUAGUUGCCUAAAUUGUGUCACUUUUUUAGUAUUUCUUACACUAUAUAAAUCUCAAAAAUUCCCAAGUAGACAAGAAAUAAAAGUGAAGAAAAAUUAUGAACA